CUUUGAAUAGCUAUUUUAAAUAACUGUUUCUUGUCUGAUUUUUUAAUAGGGUCUUACUGGACAGAGCUCAUUCAGACUAUGACAGUGUGUUUCACCAUCUGGAUUUGGAAAUGCUUUCCUCACCACAACAUUCUCCAGUCAAUCAGUUUGCCAAUACCUCAGAAACAAAUACCUCGGACAAAUCUUUCUCUAAAGACCUCAGUCAGAUACUAGUCAAUAUCAAAUCAUGUAGAUGGCGGCAUUUUAGGCCUCGGACACCAUCCCUACAUGACAGUGACAAUGAUGAACUCUCCUGUAGAAAAUUAUAUAGGAGUAUAAACCGAACAGGAACAGCACAACCUGGGACCCAGACAUGCAGUACCUCUACGCAAAGUAAAAGUAGCAGUGGUUCAGCACACUUUGCAUUUACAGCCGAACAAUACCAGCAACAUCAACAGCAACUGGCACUCAUGCAGAAACAGCAGCUUGCACAAAUUCAGCAACAGCAAGCAAAUAGUAAUUCCUCCACCAACACAUCACAGGUGAGGGAUUUGUCUGUCUUAUGAUUAUCCCUCAUUGUUUCCCACCAGAGUUCAUCUCUAAUUACCAACUGUUGUCAUAGAACCUUGCAUCUAACCAGCAGAAAAGUGGCUUUCGCCUGAAUAUACAGGGUUUAGAAAGAACACUACAGGUGAGUAUGGAAGCUGUUGCCUCUGCUCCCUAUUUUAAAAAGUAAAACUAAAGCACUUAGUUAAAUGAGAUGAAGAUACUGUCUUCCCGUCUGACCUGUAGUCCAUUAAUGUACCUCUUGAAUAUAUAACCCCACCCAGUUCAUUCUCUUGGGCAUGUUAAUUAUUAUUAAGGCUUUUAAAAUUAUGCAAAAAUAACCUCUCCAACUCUUGAAAGAGAUAACUUUUAAACCUAAAGCAUGAUGAACGUUUGCCAGUUAAACACAUGUAGGGCAUAAAGGCUGAGGUUUGAGUCUCUAUGCAUCUUGCAGGAAAAAUAUAUUUUUAAAAAGUUGAGGGGCCUAUCGAUUUCUAGGUUAAAUUAUGUGAUAUUUUGUUACUUCCAUUUCUAAAGGGAUAGUUAUCUUAUCCCAAAGGUGCCUUUCAUUGUGUGUGUAUACAUAUGUGUGUGUGUAUAAGUUAGGUGAAGGAAGUUUACAUAUUCAUUUAUUCAUUAUAUGGAUUUGCAAAUCAC
rnacentral:lncRNA from 1 species